GGCACCUACGGGACGCAGCAGUGGGGGAUAUUGCACAAUGGGGGAAACCCUGAUGCAGCAACGCCGCGUGAGUGAAGAAGGUCUUCGGAUUGUAAAGCUCUGUUCUUGGUGAAGAUAAUGACGGUAGCCAAGGAGAAAGCUCCGGCUAACUACGUGCCAGCAGCCGCGGUAAUACGUAGGGAGCGAGCGUUGUCCGGAUUUACUGGGUGUAAAGGGUGCGCAGGCGGCUCUGCAAGUCAGGCGUGAAAGCUAGGGGCUCAACCCCUAAACUGCGCUUGAAACUGUGGAGCUUGAGUGGGCGAGAA
rnacentral:rRNA from 1 species